GAGCUGCGCCCCACUUCAGGGACCUGAGAACAAAGGCUUUAGGGGAUGCCACAAGCACUGAAGGAGGCACUGGGGACCCCUCUGUGUCCCAACACCAGUUCCCAGCACUCCCUUCCAAGUGAUGGGCCGAGAGGCGGGCUGGCUUGGAUCCUAGUGGGAUUAGGGGGGCACCGGGCAGUGCAGCCUGGUGGUCAAGACCCAGCCUUUGGAGUGAAGCUGACACCCCUGCUCUACUGAGUGACCUUGUGGGACACUUCAGGUCCCCGGUGGGUCCUCUCUGGGCCUCAGCGUCCUCAUCUGGACACCAGUGGCAAUGCUGUCUCCCUCGCAGGACUGCUGUGAAGAAGAAAUGCAAGGCUGAACGUGGAGAACGAGGGGGUCUGUGGACCCGCCAGGCCCUGCUGGGAGAUUCUGUCUCGCCACCUUCCCCGACCUGCAGCCCUGCCCAACCACUCCUCUGGGCUGCCUUCCUCGCCGUGGCCCCUGAGGGAUCAUCCUGGCAUCAUGCUCUUCGGUGCCCACCUGACCCUCACCCCCAGGGAACAAGUCCCCAGCUAAGUUUUCCUAUUUCAGAAUGCCAGGACCUUCACAAUCUGGCCCAACCUACCUUUCCCAAGCCUCAACUCCGGCUAGUGUCCCCUAACAGCUUCCCUUCUGGCCACGUCCAAGCACUCAGUGCUGCUUCAACUGAACGAGACCCCACUUCCGGGCCACACACUGCGGUGUGCUGUCCCCCGCCACACCGAACGCCUCACCCCUACUGCUCACGUGGCAAGCUCUUAGCCUUUCUUCAAAACCCAAGGCCCCGGACUAAAGCUCAUGCUCUUUGGGUCUGCUGGUGUUUGCUGGAACCCCAAGCCAGCUUCUCACUGCAAGCUCCCCCUUUCCAGAGCCAUCUGUGGAUAGAAGAGCUAACACAGGUCAUGUUCUUAGAACGGCACCUGGCCCGUAGUGAUCACUCAACACAUCUUUGCUGUUCUGAAGGUAGCCGACUGACACUGCUUCAGUGGAACCCCCGCCCCCCGACUCCUCCUCCACCGGGGCUGAAGCAGGCAUGUCCUCCCUGGAGCUUCCGGAACCCCCAUCCCAGACAUCAAUCACUUGGUGCAGGAUAAUGACAAGAUAACAGCUGUCA